CCCGGAUGAUCACUGGUGGUAGAAUUUUUGAGUCCACUGGAAGCAUUGAUGGCUCAAACUAGCGUGAUGGCUUGUUAAAUACAUGGGCACAAGCGCAACUGUGUCGGUCUUGCGUAUAACGUUAAUUUAUUCAAAUUUUGAAUAAGUAGAUUAAAUCAUGCGUACAUAAAUCUAAGUAACAAUAGUUAAACGAAAACACCCCCGUAUCGACAAGUGAAUCCAUUCCUCAUUGAGUUGUUUGGGCAGUUUCAGCAUCGCUUUGUUUGGGGUCUUUCGUUAGGUAGGCACCAGUCGCAGCGCACGUAAAUGAGGAUACCGUAAUCAGGCAAAAGUACUAGCUAACGUUAGUACGUAACGAACGUUAGCUUGUUCGCUAAUAGCCCUCAAACAAUAAGAAGCAAUGAAUAGUUAAACUAAAUAUCCAUAGUGUUAAUCGUACAUUGAGGCACAAGGUGAAAUCAUACAGCAAAUGGCAGGAAACGGCUUUACGUUAUCCAAUGAAUGAACGAUCUGCGUAUGUGGGGAACUGACACUGCCGUUAGAAGGAAAAACAGUAGCUUGAUAGUCUAUUUACUUUCUGCAGCCUGCGGAUUGUGCUGGCCUAUUCCAGUCAGUGAUAUUGAAUCUGUCGUUUUAGCAUAACGGCUUGCGAUACGGUUUUAGAAACCUUUGGAACUUAACUAAUACACAAUGGUACUCGGCAUCAUCUUGAUAUGUGUAACAAAAGUUCAACAUUCACCUACCAUUUCUGCCAAGCCGUCAACACAUACAGUUUGAUACAUACGUUCGAUAAAUCCAAGGUAUGCACCAGACAACGCAAUGCUGCAAGGCAAACGCAGCGUUCCAUUGGAAAUAAAGUACUUCUGGUAUGAUCGUGGCGUAAUACGCUAGUGUUACCGUCUGAAUGGGCAAACCUAGGCAUUGUCUACUACAGAGUCGUUCGGGCAGAACUAUCCGGAGGCUUUCACCAAAUUGACAGGAGUCUCAAGAUUUGUAUUUUUGGGAGUGGAUUAUCCCUUGAAGGAGGCAGAUGGCACUCUGGACUGCAUCAGUAUGGCUCUCACUGCACUUUUAACCGCUGGGGCACGCUUCUGGCGGUGGGGUGCAACGACGGACGAAUCGUACUUUCGGACUUCCUGACACGGGGCAUCGCCAAGAUUAUCAGUGCUCACAUCCAUCCAGUCUGAAAACAAACUAUGGCUACAAGAAAUUGGAGUCGAGAUGGGCACAAGUUGGUGAGUGUGUCGACAGAUAACAUCCCGUCCCUGUGGGACGUCCGAACUGGAGACUGACCAAAGGUUCCGCUUCCCCUUGCCCAUCCUAAAAUUGUAGUACCACCCCAGAGACUUGUGCGGAUGCUGCGGAGGAUUUAAUGACUUAAAUGGAUGAGGAGGUGGAUGUGACCUCUUGACCCCAUUGUGGCUUUUUGCAGCAGAGGUAGAGGACCCUGAGGAGAAUCCAUUUGGUCCCCCUCCGGAUGCAGCCGACCAGACCGCCACCACAGAAGAUGGUUCUUCCCACACGGGGCGGGGACAAGAAGCAGCACCAGCCAUCCUCAGAAGGAGCCCCACCCAAAAACAAGGCCAUAACACCACCAUCAUCGAGCUACAAGGGGUGCCCAGUGAUGGGAGCCUGGUUUCACAGUCCUACAAACAGCAUGAUAUUGUGGGUCUGGACUGAGCCAGCAGCUUCAUCAUCGCCCCCG